CAGCUUACAAUCAGAUUCCUAUGGACUAACAGCAUUUGAAACAUCAUCGGGUGUAUAUCAAUUCACUAGAAUGUGUUUUAGUUUGAAGACGGCUCCUUUAGCAUUUCAGCGUAUUAUGCACAUGCUGUUUUCUGGUUUGCCCAUGUCUUUUAUACUUGUGUAUUUAGAUGAUAUUCUUGUUCAUAGUGCUACUCCAGAACUUAUGCUGGAAUAUCUUGAGGAAGUUUUGAAUCGUUUUGAAACAGCUGAAUUAACACAGAAAAGAUGUGUUAUCUUUUCAUAGAUAGUGUGUACUAUUUAGGUUUCAAAAUUUCUCAGGAUGGUGUACAACCUGGUGAUAAAGGUUUGAAAGCAGUUCGUGAAUUUCCAUUACCUAGGUCUUGGGAAGAGGUUCAUUAAUUUUUACGACUUUGCACAUUUUUUCAAAGAUUCAUUUUAAAUUGUUUCUGAUAUUGCCUUGCCAUUGAGUUGUAUUGUGGAGAAAAAGUUAUAUGAAUGGACUGAAAAACAAGAACAAGCAUUUGAAAAGUUCAAAUCUUCUAUUACAUCAAAACCAUUGCUAGUACAUCCUAAGUUUGAUGACGAUGCUCCGCCGUUUAUUGUACAAACUGAUGCAAGCAACACUGGUUUAGCUGGGGUACUUCUACAAGAAAAUAAUGGUUAUGAACAUCAAUUGCGUUUGCUUCAGAGAAACUUUCUAAAACGGAACGUAAUUAUUCAACCAUCCACCGUGAGGCGCUGGGAAUUAUUUGGUCGGUUCGGAAGUUUCCUGAAUUCUUGUAUGGCAGGAAAUUUGUUAUUCGAACAGAUCAUAAACCAUUGAUAUACAUUACAACUUAAAAUUCACCUAAGUGUGCUCGCUGGAGUUUGGAUUAUCAGAUUGAUUAUGUUAAGGGUUGUCACAACCGUAUUUUAUUGUAAAUAAGUUGUGGAGUUAUCGGGUGUGUAGAUAAUUUGAAUAUUAUAUUUAGCCUAUUUACUCGCAGUGGUCAUAUGGAACCUUUUCACACGUGCAGUCAAAUACCCUAGCACUUGCGAUGGUUUGGUGUGCAGUGGCAAAGCGUGAUUGUGGACUAGUCCAUUAUUUUUACACUUGGUUAAAAGUGCUGGUCAGAGCUGUUGUUAGGAGAACCUAGAACUGUGAUGCAAACGGUGCACGGGUGGUGAUGUGGGUGUGUGGACAUGUGUUAUGUUUGGAACUGUGGAUAGGUUUCCUGUGAACAGCUGGGGUCGGAUUUAUUGUUAGCUGGGUUGAUGAUGGUUACCAGCCGCUUUUUGCUUCACCGUUGCGAUUGAUGAUACAGAUGGCCUUAUAGAUGGUGAAAGAGUGACGGCGAGUCGAAGAUGGUUGCAAGAACAAAGCAACUUUGUAUUGAUGAUCUUGACCUGGACUUGCAAAUAGGCUACAAGUAGCAUGUGUUUGAAAGGGUUCUCUAUUCGGUGGACUGAUAAUUAACUGGUGCCUGGUGUUAUUAAAUAUGAACUGAUCAGUAUUACCAGUGCUGAACUGUUCUAUUUCCAGUGAACUGUUUAUAAAAAAUAACUUGAUUCAUAGGCUUAGUAAUUAUUGUAUUUUUUGAAAUUACAAAUGUAAAAUCA